GUUGUUUUAGGGAAUGUUCAAUAACUGGUUGGACCAAGCCGUUUGAUUAGUAUGUUGUAAGGUUUUCUCAAACUUG